rnacentral:rRNA from 1 species
UGGGCGCAAGCCUGAUCGCAGCGCAUGCCGCGUGAGUGAAGAAGGCCUUCGGGUUGUAAAGCUCUUUCGGCCGGGAAGAAAUCGCAUUGGUUAAUACCUGGUGUGGAUGACGGUACCGGAAUAAGAAGCACCGGCUAACUACGUGCCAGCAGCCGCGGUAAUACGUAGGGUGCGAGCGUUAAUCGGAAUUACUGGGCGUAAAGCGUGCGCAAGCGGUUUUGUAAGACAGGCGUGAAAUCCCCAGGCUCAACCUGGGAACUGCGCUUGUGACUGCAAGGCUAGAGUACGGCAGAGGGGGGUGGAAUUCCACGUGUAGCAGUGAAAUGCGUAGAGAUGUGGAGGAACACCAAUGGCGAAGGCAGCCCCCCUGGGUCGAUACUGACGCUCAUGCACGAAAGCGUGGGUAGCAAACAGGAUUAGAUACCCUGGUAGUCCACGCCCUAAACGAUGUCAACUAGGUGUUGGGAGGGUAAAACCUUUUAGUACCGGAGCUAACGCGUGAAGUUGACCGCCUGGGGAGUACGGCCGCAAGGUUAAAACUCAAAGGAAUUGACGGGGACCCGCACAAGCGGUGGAUGAUGUGGAUUAAUUCGAUGCAACGCGAAAAACCUUACCUACCCUUGACAUGUCAGGAAGUCUUGAGAGAUUGAGAUGUGCCCGAAAGGGAACCUGAACACAGGUGCUGCAUGGCUGUCGUCAGCUCGUGUCGUGAGAUGUUGGGUUAAGUCCCGCAACGAGCGCAACCCUUGUCGUUAAUUGCCAUCAUUUAGUUGGGCACUUUAGCGAGACUGCCGGUGACAAACCGGAGGAAGGUGGGGAUGACGUCAAGUCCUCAUGGCCUUAUGGGUAGGGCUUCACACGUCGUACAAUGGUCGGUACAAAGGGUCGCCCACCCGCGAGGGGGAGCCAAUCCAGAAAGCCGAUCGUAGUCGAUGCAGGCUGCAACUCCCUGCAUGAAGUCGGAAUCGCUAGUAAUCUGAUCAGCAUGUCACGGUGAUACGUCCCGG